AGUGAACGCUGGCGGCGUGCUUAACACAUGCAAGUCGAACGAGAACGGGCUAUAGCUUGCUAUAGUUGUCAGCUAAGUGGCGCACGGGUGAGUAAUGUAUAGGUAAUAUGCCUCUUACUAAGGGAUAACAAAUGGAAACGUUUGCUAAUACCUUAUACUCCUUAUUAACAGCAGUUAAUAAGGGAAAGAUUUAUCGGUAAGAGAUUAGCCUGUAUUGUAUCAGUUAGUUGGUGGGGUAAUGGCUUACCAAGACUAUGACACAUAACUGGUUUGAGAGGAUGAUCAGUCACACUGGAACUGAGACACGGUCCAGACUCCUACGGGAGGCAGCAGUGGGGAAUAUUGCACAAUGGACGAAAGUCUGAUGCAGCAACGCCGCGUGGAGGAUGACACAUUUCGGUGCGUAAACUCCUUUUAUAUGAGAAGAUAAUGACGGUAUUAUAUGAAUAAGCUCCGGCUAACUCCGUGCCAGCCGCCGCAGUAA
rnacentral:rRNA from 1 species